rnacentral:lncRNA from 1 species
ACUGUCCAUCUUGCCUUCAGGAUAAUGUGAAAUAUGGCCUAAUUUUUGAAGUUUUUUUCUUAGAAAUUUUACUGAAUCCAAAAUAAAACAAGAAGAUCAUGGUGGAUAUAGCUUCCAAAUUUAUUCUGCAAUAAAACAGGUUUGAAUCUAGAUAUACAAGCAAAUAGCAAAUAAUAUACAUUCUUUUUUGCAGAGUCCAGAAUUCUCUUUUCUCAACACUAGAUGGCAGUAGAGUUAAAGAAAAAAAUCCCAGCAGUUCUUUGUACAGGGAUUUGGUGAUUUUUCCCAUAAAGCUGCGAUGAGGAUGAACUCAGAGCAAAAUCUAUGGGGAGUUUUAUACCUGGUAUACUAUUUGUAGCCUUCGUAGAGGGUUCUCCAUUCUAGUCACACCGAUUUCCUCUCUGCUGCAGACAUUGGACACUGGCCUAGUGUUCCAGAAGCUCUGAGUUCAGAGUCCUCAUGUACUAAUGCCAGCAACAGUCAGUUUCACAGUGCCUCUGGCCAGCUGCACUCUUAUGCAACUCAACAAUUUCUCACCUUUUCUCCUUUUAAAAACAAUAUAAGCAACAAAACCACCCAGCUCCCACUGCUGCAUAACCCAGAAGUAUUGGAAAGAUCACUUCAUACAAUUCUUGAGGCAAUCCUGCAGGAUCAAGCAAUUAGGUCCUUGGAGUGGUGGCCAGCUCAUCAAAGCCUCUUUGUACUGGUGCUUCCCCUGAUCCUGUUUUGUUCCCUUGUCCCUCUUUCCUGCUCCUAGCUAGGAUCACAC